rnacentral:lncRNA from 1 species
UGCUGUUCGCUUACACAGCAACUUCUUCUUUCUUGUCUCGGCUCCUUCAUCCUGAAUCUUUCUCUUGCCUCUUCCAGCAACAUUAACCGAAGAUGUCUCCACGUCUGCUGCAAUAUCAGUAUCAUCCACACUCUUAUCAGCUUCUGACUCUGUAUCGGCUUCCUCCAUCUCAGUCUCUUCAGCCUCUAUAACUGGCCAUUCUGUGUUGCUCCAAGCAAACUUGUAUUUAAUCCUAUCGAGAAGAAGGUCCACACUUUCAUCUUCCAUCUCAUCCUUCCUUGUAUAAUCAGCAUCCCUCAACACAUCACCAUUGCCACUCACUGAAAUUACCGAGAACAAGUCUCCCUACAAAUUAAUUAUAACAUUAUAAGCUAUUAAAAAAAUAGGCAACAACCAUAUAAAAGAAUACAAUACAUAUACAUACCUUCUCAGUAAACGAUUCCUCAAGUUGAAUGAUGUCCUCAUAAGAAACCUUUGCAACUCCUUUCCAAUUUUCACACCUUGGACCGCUGAAACUGUCCGAGACUUUGCUGCCACAUAUUUCUCCAAAUUCCGGAAUUGCUUCCAUAAUCCAAAUCUGGAAAGCAUAGGAGAAAUCCUCGAAAAUGUAGCUGUUCUUCUUACCCAACUUCUUCCUAGCCUUCUCAAUAGAACUCAGCAUUUAGUCAUAGGAGUGAAGACCCCAAUGGAACUUGCGGGGCUUGUCAAGGUCCAUCACCAAUUUGAUGUACAUAUCAGGGAUGUUCACCUUCUCAUAUCUCCCCAUCACCACACCCAUUAUCA